CUGCGGCUCUGGAGCGGAGCCCUGCGGCCCGCCGCGCCGCCCGCCUCCUUACAAGACGCGCCACACGCGUUGAAGGCUGGCCAUCACGGGGAUACGCUGUACACUGCCGGGAACGGCGGCGACGUGCGCGUGUGGCGCGUGCUGCAGGACUCCUGAGACCCGCCACAAGUGACGGCCGAGUGCGGUGCUGGCGCAUUCGAAUGAGAUGACCGUCCCCCGCCUCCCCCCGCGCAUCCCCGCGGCCCCCCGCCCCGCGCCGCCCGCGCGUGUGGAGGUGACGCCGCACCGCACGACACGGCGGGCGUUGUGGAUACUUCUAUUAGCGGUAGUAUGGUUGUACUUUCGUCGACAGAUAACUGAUUCGUAGACCUUAUUGCGAUGAGAUAAGGUCGAAACGAUUGGCAAAGUAUCACUAGUAGUUAACCAUAGACAACUUAGUACAUAAAAAGAAUUUGAAUGACAAACCAUGCUAAAUAAAAAGACAAAUUAGUAAGACAAAUCCAAAAUCGGAUAUUUCAGUAGAUAAACAUAACAUUACCACUUAACUUACCAGUGUAGAAUUGGACGAUUGCCUUUUACUGGACUGGACUUGUUUAAAAGGCGAUGUAUCUGUUACUAAAAGACAACUAUUAUUAUUUUAAUUAAUUAUUUUAGAGAUAUUGUUUAACUGAUUUCUCCAUACUGGAAUUACAUUAUUGGAACAUUAUUAAAUACUUAGAGGUAUUGAUAGCUACCCAAAUAUUAGUUCCUGUUUAUGUCUUGCGUAAAACUCUCUCUAUAUAGCUGGUAAGUUUUUUUAAAUUUUUUAACAUACAAAUGUCAUGAAAUUUGAAUAAGUCAUCAGUAAAAUAAUAGUAGGGACUUGAUAUGAUUAGAUGGAUUCAAAAUAUACUAUGAUAUACAAUACAAUUUCACGACCUAAGUAGCAAUACAUUCAAUUACGUUUUUAACAAUUUUAAUACAUUUUAGCACUGAUAACUAUGAAGACGCGAAAUCAAAUAAAUCGAAUCUAAAGGUGUAACAACGCGUUCAAUAUCGUGUUGUAUCUAAUUUUAUCUGAAACCUUUUAAUAAUAUGUACCGUAUUUAGAAUAAAUUAAUUAAUUUCCAUCCUUUAAACGGUGUAAAAAAAAGUCUACGUAGUAACAACAAAUAUUUAGAUGUUUUUACAGCGUCAACUGAGUUGUAGUCCUUUUUACAUCAAAUAGGUACAUAGCUAGGUACAAUAUCAUUCUCAGUUUUACAAGAACAACAUUUUAAAUAACGACUUUAUAAGCAAAAGUGUAUUAAUGGAUUAAAUGUAAAUCAUAUGGUCACAACUUAAUUAUUAUGUAACAUGUAUUCAAUGUAAUAAAUGUGGCCAAUAUGUAGUGACUUUAUACGAUUAGCUAGAUACAUUUUAACUAUAGUUCGUUCGCGUUAAGAAUGCAGUAAAAUCAUCAGUGUCCGCCGGCCUAGCGAUGCUAGUAAUCAAUCAAAUCGUUACUAAUUAAGUAUGCCUUCAACUGGUCAUUGUGAACUUGACUUUCUAAUUAGGAACGAUUUGAUUGGUUACGAGCGUGACUAGUGGCAUAGUGACAAUGAUUGAAUGAUUUUACUGCAUUUAUAACGCGAACGAAUGAUAUUUAGAACAAAAUUCAAACUAGUUCCGAAUGUUCACGAUUCAUUUUAAACUAUUAUUUAUACGAAUAGUAAUGCAAAUGUCUAUUAUAAGUAGUUAUAUAAGUUUAGUGAAUAAAGUUAGACCAAGAAAAGUCAGCAACGAUUUUGAUAGC